UACGUAGGGUGCGAGCGUUGUCCGGAAUUAUUGGGCGUAAAGAGCUUGUAGGCGGUCUGUCGCGUCUGCUGUGAAAAUCCGGGGCUCAACCCCGGACUUGCAGUGGGUACGGGCAGACUAGAGUGUGGUAGGGGAGACUGGAAUUCCUGGUGUAGCGGUGAAAUGCGCAGAUAUCAGGAGGAACACCGAUGGCGAAGGCGGCUUCCUGGCCUAUUACUGACGUUCAGGUACGAAAGCGUGGGUAGCAAACAGG
rnacentral:rRNA from 1 species